GCCUUCUUAGCUCAGUGGUAGAGCGUUGCACUUGUAUGAGACUUUCAAAAUGACGAUCCUUAUACGAUGCAAAGAUCAGUCGUUCAAUCCGGCUAGGAGGUA